GCGGACGUGGUGGAAUGGUAGACACGCUACCUUGAGGUGGUAGUGGGAGUAAUCCUAUGGAAGUUCAAGUCUUCUCGUCCGCACCA
rnacentral:tRNA from 1 species